rnacentral:rRNA from 1 species
AUUAAAUUGAAGAGUUUGAUCAUGGCUCAGAUUGAACGCUGGCGGUAGGUUUUAUCCAUGCAAGUCGAGCGGUAACAGACAUUUUGAUUCAGCUUGCUGAAUCUAGUGCUGACGAGCGGCGAACUGGUGAGUAACGCGUAGGAAUCUGCCCAGUAGCGGGGGAUAGCCCGAGGAAACUCGGAUUAAUACCGCAUACGCCCUAAGGGGGAAAGGGGGCAUCUUUGAUGCUCUUACUAUUGGAGGAGCCUGCGUAAGAUUAGCUUGUUGGUAGGGUAAAGGCCUACCAAGGCGACGAUCUUUAGCUGGUCUGAGAGGACGAUCAGCCACAUUGGGACUGAGACACGGCCCAGACGUCUACGGACGGCAGCAGGAGAGAAUAUUGGACAAUGAGGGAAACCUUGAUCCAGCCAUACCGCGUGUGUGAAGAAGGCCUUAGGGUUGUAAAGCACUUUAAGCGAUGAAGAAGAAAAGUAAGUUAAUACCUUAUUUUUUUGACGUUACUCGCAGAAUAAGUACCGGCUAACUCCGUGCCAGCAGCCGCGGUAAUACGGAGGGUGCAAGCGUUAAU